rnacentral:tRNA from 1 species
CGGGAUGUAGCUCAGCCCGGUAGAGUACACGUCUGGGGGGCGUGUGGUCGCAGGUUCAAAUCCUGUCAUCCCGACUA